rnacentral:rRNA from 1 species
UACGUAGGGUGCGAGCGUUAAUCGGAAUUACUGGGCGUAAAGCGUGCGCAGGCGGUUGUGCAAGACAGAUGUGAAAUCCCCGGGCUUAACCUGGGAACUGCAUUUGUGACUGCACGGCUAGAGUACGGCAGAGGGGGAUGGAAUUCCGCGUGUAGCAGUGAAAUGCGUAGAUAUGCGGAGGAACACCGAUGGCGAAGGCAGUCCCCUGGGCCUGUACUGACGCUCAUGCACGACAGCGUGGGGAGCAAACCCG